rnacentral:rRNA from 1 species
UCGGGAAUUUUGCCCAAUGGACGAAAGUCUGAGGCAGCAACUCCGCGUGAGGGAUGAAGGCCUUCGGGUCGUAAACCUCUUUUCUCAGGGAAGAUUCAAGACGGUACCUGAGGAAUAAGCCACGGCUAACUACGUGCCAGCAGCCGCGGUAAUACGUAGGUGGCAAGCGUUGUCCGGAUUUACUGGGCGUAAAGAGCGCGCAGGCGGCUGGGCAAGUCCGAUGUGAAAGCUUCCGGCUUAACUGGAAAAUUGCAUCGGAAACUGCUCGGCUUGAAGGUGGGAGAGGGUAGCGGAAUUCCCGGUGUAGUGGUGAAAUGCGUAGAUAUCGGGAGGAACACCAGUGGCGAAGGCGGCUACCUGGCCCAUUCUUGACGCUGAGGCGCGAAAGCUAGGGGAGCAAACGGG